GACGAACGCUGGCGGCGUGCUUAACACAUGCAAGUCGAACGGAAAGGCCCUGCUCUUGUGGGGUGCUCGAGUGGCGAACGGGUGAGUAACACGUGAGUAACCUGCCCUUGACUUUGGGAUAACUUCAGGAAACUGGGGCUAAUACCGGAUAGGAGCUCCUGCUGCAUGGUGGGGGUUGGAAAGUUUCGGCGGUUGGGGAUGGACUCGCGGCUUAUCAGCUUGUUGGUGGGGUAGUGGCUUACCAAGGCUUUGACGGGUAGCCGGCCUGAGAGGGUGACCGGGCACAUUGGGACUGAGGUACGGCCCAGACUCGUACGGGAGGCAGCAGGGGGGAAUAUUGCACAAUGGGCGGAAGCCUGAUGCAGCAACGCCGCGUGCGGGAUGACGGCCUUCGGGUUGUAAACCGCUUUCGCAUGUGACGAAGCGUGAGUGACGGUAAUGGGUAAAGAAGCACCGGCUAACUACGUG
rnacentral:rRNA from 1 species